UACAAAAAAUGCAUUUUAGCAUAAAUCCAAGGUUUUACAUAGUGACCAGUUUGUAUAGUGUAAGUAGUUCAGACCUUUUUCACAAUGGAUCAAUCAAUGUCAACUUUAAACUGUUUCUGCCUCCUCCAUUAAAUGGGUUACAUAAAAUCGAGUCGAUUAGAGUGUGUAUCAAGUGGGAGGGUUGUGGGUCUGUAUUUUUGACAUGAUUAUUAAUGAGUCGAUCUAGAGUUGGGAAUUUUGCUCUAAUGUAUGCAAUUCAAGUUGACAUGACCUGAUGAUACCAAUAUCCAUGACUCAUCUGUAUAUUAUCCCUUUUCCCUCAUCUCUUCUGAUAUCCUUUCCUUAAUAGUGACAAUGAGUCUUCUUCACUAGCAACAUUGUCCGAGUCUAACUGAUUCUAGACCAGUUUGUUGAACAAUUGCCUUUUCAUCAGCCUCCUCAUGGCAUUCCCAUCCUUGGGAAGUAUAAAAGAUAAAGUACUACUACUUUUAUCUUCUUCUUUUUUCCAUCAGAUGCAAUGCAUAUAUUCUGAAGUAUGUGUUGCCAUUAGGAGAUGGCAAAUUUUGACCCCAAAAAAAAAGUAAAAACAAUACAAAAAAUGCAUUUUAGCAUAAAUCCAAGGUUUUACAUAGUGACCAGUUUGUAUAGUGUAAGUAGUUCAGACCUUUUUCACAAUGGAUCAAUCAAUGUCAACUUUAAACUGUUUCUGCCUCCUCCAUUAAAUGGGUUACAUAAAAUCGAGUCGAUUAGCGUGUGUAUCAAGUGGGAGGGUUGUGGGUCUGUAUUUUUGACAUGAUUAUUAAUGAGUCGAUCUAGAGUUGGGAAUUUUGCUCUAAUGUAUGCAAUUCAAGUUGACAUGACCUGAUGAUACCAAUAUCCAUGACUCAUCUGUAUAUUAUCCCUUUUCCCUCAUCUCUUCUGAUAUCCUUUCCUUAAUAGUGACAAUGAGUCUUCUUCACUAGCAACAUUGUCCGAGUCUAACUGAUUCUAGACAGGUCAAUCAAGUUUCAUACAAGAAAGCAUGUUGCGUCAAGUUGACAUGGGUACUCGAAAAUGAUGUGGAAAAUUCAAGCAGAAUUCCUGAUAAACAAUAUUUUAAAAUCAACUCAUCCAAUAAG
rnacentral:lncRNA from 1 species